rnacentral:other from 1 species
GCCGACCUGCAAAGUUGGUGAUGGGGUAAUAAACGCUGCUGAACCUGUUUCUUGUGAAAGGGAGCUUGACUCGAAGAUUGGUCUGGUGUGCCAGUGCCCAGUCGCAUAGGCCUAAAGGACCACGGCGGGCGCCCACCUUGUUGAAAGGUUCACAAGCGACCUACCCCACACGGCCCCGCGGGUCGGCA